UGCAGUUUUAGAAUUUUGCUAAGAAAAUCAAGUUCCUGAGCCAGUAUGUUGGAGUGUUUUGGCCCACAUUUUAAAAAUCUAUUAAAUUAACCACAUUAACAAAUUAUAGGACAACUACAUGGCCAUCUCAAAAAGUGCAAAAAAACUCAUUUAAUAAAAUUCACCAAUUAAUCAUAAGGGAAACUAUUAGAAAACUAUAAUAGAAAGACAUUCUUUAACCUAAGGUAUGGACCUUCUAGGAUCCCUACUAAUGGCCCUGAUAGAUCAAUGAGGAUUCUUUUCUACUCUGCAGUUAUUUGAACAGGUAUUUAUCCUAUGUGAGAUCUGGGCACUCCUUUGCUCACAGCUCACCUUUUGUUCUUCUUCAGCCUUAUGAACUCAUAUGCUACACGUGUAUAGCCUAGUAUUCAGCAAAGAUAAAAGAAUGUUUCUUUGAAAGGUUUCUGGAACUCUUUUUUUCUGUAUAGUUGUACCCUCCGCAAAACUCUGCCCUACAUCUUCUGUCUCACACUGCCUGAAGUCCAGUCUUUUUCUUGACUUAGUAAGAUUGAUAGAAUCUGCCUGGAUAUGGAAUGUGCCUCCAGGACACACCCUCUUAGGAAUAACAGUCCUGUGCUGCCCUUUGUCUAAUACGAAAACCAAUUUUCUAAAUUUUGCCCAGUUUUCCAGUUGUUUACAGCAGGAAAGUAAAUCUGAUCCCUAGUAUCAUGGUCACAAGUGAAAGUUUAUUACAGAUGGACUAAGACUUAUGACAGAUUCUCAUCUCAAUAAACCCAUUGUAAGUUGAAUAUAUUGUAAAUCAAAAAUGCAUAUAAUACCUAAUCUCCAAACAUCACAGUUUGGCAACACAGUAAACUGAAAUGUUGGUUGUUCAUUCUUGUGAUCUCAUAACUGACUGGUAGUUCCAGCUUGAUUCUCAGCUAUAUGAUCAUUUUUUUGUUGUCUGCUUACUCUUAAUAGAGCAGGGACACUGUUGGAUUGUUUGGCAACUCUGCUUAUACUGGUGGGCCAGUUGACCAUGGGUUUAAUGUAAGGCAGAGUUUCUCUAAUGACACUUUUGACUGGAUAACUCUUUGUUGAAGGAAACUUUCCUUGUGCACUAUAGGAUGUUCAGUAGCAUCCUUGACUUCUAUGUGCUAGAUGCCAGUAGCACAUCCCAUGCCAUUGGUAACCCCAGCCCCUGGGUUUGUGGCAAUUCAACAUGUCUCUAGAGAUUGCCAUAAGCCUUCAGCUGAGAAUUGCUGAUGUAGGAUGAUCUGUCUGGGAUGUUCAUGAGUGGACUCUUAAAUUUUAUAUCUAGGUAUUCCCCAUCAGAUAGUCCUCUAAUUUCUCUUGCCUGAAGGAUUAAGUGGAAGAAGAGAGCAGGGAGUCUUUAAAUACCCUCACCUGUGCCUCGUGCUCCUUCAUCUCGAAGCUAUCUAUUUUCCUCUCAGUAGCCUUCACCUCAAGACUUUGGUGAGUGUGGGAGAGACAAUCAACCAGUGGUAAGGAAUGGGGUGAAAGAAGAAAUCCAAGAAUUCACAUGAUUCUCACAGAUCUUUCAUUUAAUUGGUCUUCCUAAGUCAACAUUCCC
rnacentral:lncRNA from 1 species